rnacentral:snRNA from 1 species
GUGGUUUGGCAUCACAUGCUAAUAUUGGAAUGAUACAGAGAAGAUUAGCGUGGCUCCUAUGCAAGAAUGACCCAAAAUUGUGAAAUGUUUCAUAUUUGG